GGUUAAGCGACUAAGCGUACACGGUGGAUGCCCUGGCAGUCAGAGGCGAUGAAGGACGUGCUAAUCUGCGAUAAGCGUCGGUAAGGUGAUAUGAACCGUUAUAACCGGCGAUUUCCGAAUGGGGAAACCCAGUGUGAUUUGUCACACUAUCAUUAACUGAAUCCAUAGGUUAAUGAGGCGAACCGGGGGAACUGAAACAUCUAAGUACCCCGAGGAAAAGAAAUCAACCGAGAUUCCCCCAGUAGCGGCGAGCGAACGGGGAGGAGCCCAGAGCCUGAAUCAGUGUGUGUGUUAGUGGAAGCGUCUGGAAAGGCGCGCGAUACAGGGUGACAGCCCCGUACACAAAAAUGCACAUGCUGUGAGCUCGAUGAGUAGGGCGGGACACGUGGUAUCCUGUCUGAAUAUGGGGGGACCAUCCUCCAAGGCUAAAUACUCCUGACUGACCGAUAGUGAACCAGUACCGUGAGGGAAAGGCGAAAAGAACCCCGGCGAGGGGAGUGAAAAAGAACCUGAAACCGUGUACGUACAAGCAGUGGGAGCACGCUUCGGCGUGUGACUGCGUACCUUUUGUAUAAUGGGUCAGCGACUUAUAUUCUGUAGCAAGGUUAACCGAAUAGGGGAGCCGAAGGGAAACCGAGUCUUAACUGGGCGUUAAGUUGCAGGGUAUAGACCCGAAACCCGGUGAUCUAGCCAUGGGCAGGUUGAAGGUUGGGUAACACUAACUGGAGGACCGAACCGACUAAUGUUGAAAAAUUAGCGGAUGACUUGUGGCUGGGGGUGAAAGGCCAAUCAAACCGGGAGAUAGCUGGUUCUCCCCGAAAGCUAUUUAGGUAGCGCCUCGUGAAUUCAUCUCCGGGGGUAGAGCACUGUUUCGGCAAGGGGGUCAUCCCGACUUACCAACCCGAUGCAAACUGCGAAUACCGGAGAAUGUUAUCACGGGAGACACACGGCGGGUGCUAACGUCCGUCGUGAAGAGGGAAACAACCCAGACCGCCAGCUAAGGUCCCAAAGUCAUGGUUAAGUGGGAAACGAUGUGGGAAGGCCCAGACAGCCAGGAUGUUGGCUUAGAAGCAGCCAUCAUUUAAAGAAAGCGUAAUAGCUCACUGGUCGAGUCGGCCUGCGCGGAAGAUGUAACGGGGCUAAACCAUGCACCGAAGCUGCGGCAGCGACACUAUGUGUUGUUGGGUAGGGGAGCGUUCUGUAAGCCUGUGAAGGUGGCCUGUGAGGGUUGCUGGAGGUAUCAGAAGUGCGAAUGCUGACAUAAGUAACGAUAAAGCGGGUGAAAAGCCCGCUCGCCGGAAGACCAAGGGUUCCUGUCCAACGUUAAUCGGGGCAGGGUGAGUCGACCCCUAAGGCGAGGCCGAAAGGCGUAGUCGAUGGGAAACAGGUUAAUAUUCCUGUACUUGGUGUUACUGCGAAGGGGGGACGGAGAAGGCUAUGUUGGCCGGGCGACGGUUGUCCCGGUUUAAGCGUGUAGGCUGAUUUUCCAGGCAAAUCCGGAAAAUCAAGGCUGAGGCGUGAUGACGAGGCACUACGGUGCUGAAGCAACAAAUGCCCUGCUUCCAGGAAAAGCCUCUAAGCAUCAGGUAACAUCAAAUCGUACCCCAAACCGACACAGGUGGUCAGGUAGAGAAUACCAAGGCGCUUGAGAGAACUCGGGUGAAGGAACUAGGCAAAAUGGUGCCGUAACUUCGGGAGAAGGCACGCUGAUAUGUAGGUGAAGCGACUUGCUCGUGGAGCUGAAAUCAGUCGAAGAUACCAGCUGGCUGCAACUGUUUAUUAAAAACACAGCACUGUGCAAACACGAAAGUGGACGUAUACGGUGUGACGCCUGCCCGGUGCCGGAAGGUUAAUUGAUGGGGUUAGCGGUAACGCGAAGCUCUUGAUCGAAGCCCCGGUAAACGGCGGCCGUAACUAUAACGGUCCUAAGGUAGCGAAAUUCCUUGUCGGGUAAGUUCCGACCUGCACGAAUGGCGUAAUGAUGGCCAGGCUGUCUCCACCCGAGACUCAGUGAAAUUGAACUCGCUGUGAAGAUGCAGUGUACCCGCGGCAAGACGGAAAGACCCCGUGAACCUUUACUAUAGCUUGACACUGAACAUUGAGCCUUGAUGUGUAGGAUAGGUGGGAGGCUUUGAAGUGUGGACGCCAGUCUGCAUGGAGCCGACCUUGAAAUACCACCCUUUAAUGUUUGAUGUUCUAACGUUGACCCGUGAUCCGGGUUGCGGACAGUGUCUGGUGGGUAGUUUGACUGGGGCGGUCUCCUCCUAAAGAGUAACGGAGGAGCACGAAGGUUGGCUAAUCCUGGUCGGACAUCAGGAGGUUAGUGCAAUGGCAUAAGCCAGCUUGACUGCGAGCGUGACGGCGCGAGCAGGUGCGAAAGCAGGUCAUAGUGAUCCGGUGGUUCUGAAUGGAAGGGCCAUCGCUCAACGGAUAAAAGGUACUCCGGGGAUAACAGGCUGAUACCGCCCAAGAGUUCAUAUCGACGGCGGUGUUUGGCACCUCGAUGUCGGCUCAUCACAUCCUGGGGCUGAAGUAGGUCCCAAGGGUAUGGCUGUUCGCCAUUUAAAGUGGUACGCGAGCUGGGUUUAGAACGUCGUGAGACAGUUCGGUCCCUAUCUGCCGUGGGCGCUGGAGAACUGAGGGGGGCUGCUCCUAGUACGAGAGGACCGGAGUGGACGCAUCACUGGUGUUCGGGUUGUCAUGCCAAUGGCACUGCCCGGUAGCUAAAUGCGGAAGAGAUAAGUGCUGAAAGCAUCUAAGCACGAAACUUGCCCCGAGAUGAGUUCUCCCUGACUCCUUGAGAGUCCUGAAGGAACGUUGAAGACGACGACGUUGAUAGGCCGGGUGUGUAAGCGCAGCGAUGCGUUGAGCUAACCGGUACUAAUGAACCGUGAGGCUUAACCUU
rnacentral:rRNA from 1 species